UACGGAGGGUGCAAGCGUUAAUCGGAAUUACUGGGCGUAAAGCGCGCGUAGGCGGUUACUUAAGCGAGGUGUGAAAUCCCCGGGCUCAACCUGGGAACUGCAUUUCGAACUGAGUAGCUAGAGUGUAGAAGAGGGGUGUGGAAUUUCAGGUGUAGCGGUGAAAUGCGUAGAGAUCUGAAGGAACAUCAGUGGCGAAGGCGACACCCUGGUCUAACACUGACGCUGAGGUGCGAAAGCGUGGGUAGCAAACAGG
rnacentral:rRNA from 1 species